CAAAAUUUGAAAUCUUUCAAAUUUCACACCAUUAAAAAACAGACGCGAGAAGCUACUUCCCUCGCUGCAAAUAAACAGACCAACAGCGUCCUUCUAGUGGAAAUCGAAACCGUCGUCAAAAUCAAAGCCCUCAAAAAGAGCCCCCAACAGAGGAAACGCUCUUACUUUCAUCUCUCUUCGAUCUUUAGAUGUAAGGCCUGAAGUUUUUUCGAGAUGAAUCUUAACCAAUGAGGUCUAAGCAAACCCUAGCAGUCGUCGCAUCAUGCUUCCGUCUUCGCAAUGCCAAAGUUCACGCCGACCAUCGGGAACUAGAUGCAAUGUGCGGCCCUGUUAUGGGAAAGAUCUCCCUCAGGAACCGCUAUUAUGUGACUAAUAGAAGUAGAAAAGAAGGAAAAACGGGUUGAAAUUUGGCUUAUGCUGCCAGUAUAGAUGCUUUUGCAAUUGGCUGGGUUAUGCAGAGAAGGGAAAUGUCGGAUUUAUUCUUGCUGAAGGAGGUAAAAAUGGCACAAGUGCCAUGAAGAUUAUACAAUUAACACAACGACGCCAACUCUUUCACUUCACUGCUUUCUGAGAGCUCUCUCAGGUACUACCGCUCUAUUUCUCUACGAACCUCUACUCAUCUGUUUGCAUACACUAUUCGAACCCUAAGUUCUGUAUUUACUCCAUUCAUUGUAUAUGCAAUGUUAAUUUGACACUCAUGCUCUUGUCAAAGUUGUUCUGUAUAUUUGUUUGGGUCUUUAUUGGUUAAUUUUUGGCUUGUAUGGAUUGUUGGAGACUCGUACAUUUGUUCAAGUCUUUACUGGUUAACUUUUGGCUUCAAGUUUUGUAUAUCUAUUCACUUUUCUUGAUUGAGAGAAAAUAUAUAUUCCCACAUGUAGAUCUAUAUGCUUAUGUCCAUGCAGAUAGCGAGAGGCAACAAUUGUUGAGGCUCAAGCAUUAGGGGCAAUAGUUCACUCUGAAGGUCCUUUGUUUGGAGAAGUCCAAAGAAAUGUGAAGUCUUCAAGAGAUAAUGUUCUUGUUAUUAGAGGCGUAUUUGAUACUUUGUGGGUAGUUUGGUUUUUCUUAGUAUAACGUAUUGAUUUUGUUGUUAGCUUUAGCGUAUAGUUUGUAAUAUUUGAAUCAUGAUUUUUAAUAAAAUUAUUAAAUCGUAGUAAA